UACGAAGGGGCUAGCGUUGCUCGGAAUCACUGGGGCGUAAAGGGUGCGUAGGCGGGUCUUUAAGUCAGGGGUGAAAUCCUGGAGCUCAACUCCAGAACUGCCUUGAUACUGAAGAUCUUGAGUUCGGGAGAGGUGAGUGGAACUGCGAGUGUAGAGGUGAAAUUCGUAGAUAUUCGCAAGAACACCAGUGGCGAAGGCGGCUCACUGGCCCGAUACUGACGCUGAGGCACGAAAGCGUGGGGAG
rnacentral:rRNA from 1 species